CGCGUAGGUGGUUAAUUAAGUCAGAUGUGAAAGCCCAGGGCUCAACCUUGGAACUGCAUUUGAAACUGGUUAACUAGAGUUUUGUAGAGGGUGGUAGAAUUUCAGGUGUAGCGGUGAAAUGCGUAGAGAUCUGAAGGAAUACCAGUGGCGAAGGCGGCCACCUGGACAAAGACUGACACUGAGGCGCGAAGGCGUGGGGAGCAAACAGGAUUAGAUACCCUGGUAGUCC
rnacentral:rRNA from 1 species